rnacentral:rRNA from 1 species
AGAGUUUGAUUAUGGCUCAGGAUGAACGCUAGCUACAGGCUUAACACAUGCAAGUCGAGGGGCAGCAUGUGGUUGCUUGCAACCAAUGAUGGCGACCGGCGCACGGGUGAGUAACGCGUAUCCAACCUUCCCCUUAGUAGGGCAUAGCCCGUAGAAAUGCGGAUUAAUACCCUAUGUUGUAUAUUGAGGACAUCUGAUUUAUACCAAAGGUUCACCGCUAAGGGAUGGGGAUGCGUCUGAUUAGGUUGUUGGCGGGGUAACGGCCCACCAAGCCUACGAUCAGUAGGGGUUCUGAGAGGAAGGUCCCCCACAUUGGAACUGAGACACGGUCCAAACUCCUACGGGAGGCAGCAGUGAGGAAUAUUGGUCAAUGGGCGAGAGCCUGAACCAGCCCAAGUAGCGUGCAGGAUGACGGCCCUAUGGGUUGUAAACUGCUUUUAUACGGGGAUAAAGUGACCCACGUGUGGGUUUUUGUAGGUACCGUAUGAAUAAGGACCGGCUAAUUCCGUGCCAGCCGCCGC